rnacentral:lncRNA from 1 species
CAAAGUUAGAAAGAGAAAGAAGAGAGAGAGAGAAUAGAAGAAAAAGAGAGAAAAAAGAAGCCUACUUAAGAGAAGUGGGGGAAUUUGAAGGAAUUUGGGAGUUUUUCCUUGAGGAAACUCUGCCUAAAUUGUGAGAAGAAGGGAGAGGAAGGAAGAAACCAAAAGAAAAGAGAUAAAAAGAGGAAGAAAGCUCAUAACCAGCACAAGGGAACCUGCGAGCUUAGGGUAAGUUCUCUCCAUCAAUUGUAUUAUAUUUCUAUUGAACUUUAAAAGUUAGUUUCUACAUGUUGUGAGGGAUAUUUUUUAGGAUAGAAAUAGCUUAAAACAAUACCGGAACUCUGCCAAAUUUUUGGGAGAAAAAGGCUCUAAAUUAAGCUGGAACUCUGUCGGAGUUAAGGUAACCCCGUUUAAACCUCUUUUUCAUAUAUAUUGUAUUUAUAUAUAUAUAUACAUCAAUUUUUUUUCCCAUUUGUUAUCUAUGGUAUUAAUCUUAACUUCUACAAUAAUUUUAAAUAAACACUUUAUUUAAUAUUUAUUAAUAAUUAAUAUUCAUAUUCUAUUUGUAAUUGAUAUUUUAUAGUGAAAAUAAUAUUUUAUUUAUAAUUAAUAUUUUAUCUGUAAUUGAUAAAAGAUCUGCAUUCUGCACUGAUGUGUGUUUCCCAUCCCCUAAUAAUGUUUUCUUUUUCUUUCUGUAUUUUUCUUUUUUUCCAAGUCUAUAUGUAUUUUCAUAUAAAAUUAUAUAAGUUAAUUAAUUCACUUAAUAUGGUGAAAAUAAUAAUGAUUUAAAAAAUAUUGAAAUGGUUUAAAGUGUUUACUAAAAGUUUUUUUUUGUGCUUUAAUUAUUUUAGAAAACAUCGAAAUGAUCUAGAAAAUAACAAUUCGUUGAAGGGAAUUUAAGCAAAGAUGCUCUAGUUUGUUGUUAACAAAAUGGUUUGGGCUUCCUCCUCUCGAAAGGGACCUAAAUUCGUCAUUUUUAGUUGAGUGAUUAUCAUCAAUUAAAUUUAUUGUUAUUUUUUUUCUAAAUUUGGACAAUACUAAAAUAGUUUAAGAAUUAACUUAAUACUUUUUUAAAAAAACGACAAAUUAGUAAUUAUACCCAAAUAGCUCAGUUAUGAAGGUGAGAUUUUAACAUUAUUAAGAUAAGAUGGGCUUAGCUUUUAACAUUAUUUCUCUUUUGCAUGUAGAUUUCAAUUUUGUUUAGGUUUGUGGUAUGGAUGACAAUAAGUAGGAUAUAGGAAAAUUUUUGGAAAACCCAAACCUAACUAAAAUUCUAUAAAUAACAAAACUUAUAUAAGAUCUAAUGUAGAUUUAAUAAAUUUGUAUUACUUUAACCUAUCACUCCAAAAUAAAAACUCUAAAAAUUUAAAAUUAUCGUCCAUCAUAUUAAAAUUCAAAUCAGACACUAAAACAUAUAAUAAUCGAAGUAAGAGAUUUAAAGUUUAAAAUUGUACAAAGUAUGAAGGCGUGAGGUACCUACCAAAUGGCGUAGACUAAAUGAGUAAAUUUAUUUUGCUUACAUAUUUAUAAAUCUCUUUUCUAUAGUGUACAAAGUAUGAAGGCGUGAGGUACCUACCAAAUGGCGUAGACUAAAUGAGUAAAUUGUACAAAGUAUGAAGGCGAGUGGUACCUACCAAAUGGCGUAGACUAAAUGAGUAAAUUUAUUUUGCUUACAUAUUUAUCAAUCUCUUUUCUAUAGUGUAGGUUUGUGAUAGUGAUCAUUUACAUUUAAUUUUUCAUUUAUACAAAUUUCAAAUCAAAGGAGGGAAAUGAGGUUUAAGUACAUCGAAAUAAAUAUUAAGAAGGAACGUAAUUUAUAACAUAUUAUCUCAUUGUCCUCGAAAACAUCUUCCUUUCAACGGUCUCUAUUGUAGCUUGUAAAAAGAUGAUUCUAUGAGGUUCAAAAAUGAUUUAUUCGUAACCCACAAACAUUUUAUUUUUAUCAUUCUUUUUGAAUAGUUUCCUUUGAUCAAUCUCUCAAUCAAGUAAACAUGUUACUUCCUUUUUCAAGCUCCACACAAUCAUCAUCAUCAUGCUAUCUAAUUCAAAAAAUGAACUUGAUAAAAAUAAGGCCAACACAUAAAUCCGUAUCUCUAAGUUCUUAUUUCCAUAUGGGUUUAUUACAAGCACAUGAAGAUUACACAAACUCAUGUGGAAAUACUAAUGCAAAUUUUGUCCAUAAGAUUUAGAGAAUCUAUGAUUAUAAAAUAGUGGAUAUAAUAAAUUUAUCUUUAAGUUUAAUUAAUUAAUAACUCAAUGCAUAAGAAACAUUGACUCCUUGUAUGAUUUAUCUAACUAGGAUCUUCAGGAGCACUCAAAUUAUUGUACAUCUUCCCUCUUUGUACCUUCUUUUUGGCUAAAAUAAGCAAUUUCACUAUUUCCACAUAAUUGUUCCUAAACGCCUUUUGUCCUCUCUUUUACUUCUAAUAUUUCUAAAUGCUCUUUCUUAUUUGAAUAUAAAUCAUCUUCAUUGGUAUUCAUUUGCUUGAGAAAGGCAAACCAACAAGAAAGGACCUCUCAUUAUAGAAAUUACUCUCCUUAGAAGUUUAUAUAUAUACUUGCCUUUUAUAUAUGACCUACAUAAGCUUCGUGAGAUAGUAAAAAGAAUGUUACGCCAUUUUAAUUACCAAACAAGAAUAUUUUCAGCCCUAAAUUCUUCCAAAUUACAUUUAAUAUUUAGUAAAUAAAUGUUUAUAACAUGAAUGUAUUUGUUCUAAGCCGAUCAAACGACCCAUAUCACAAAUCGAGCAAACAGUCUAGAUCAAACAGAGAUAUGAUCCAAUGACAAUGAUUUCACAAAUGUGAAAAGACUAAAAUACCUUUAAUGAAACCCUAGAUCUUAUGGCUACGAUCCGAGGAAUCCAGAUUCGACGGCUAAAAUUGCAUCUUGGACAUGAAAAGACGAUUUUGCUUCUAAGUUGAUCCGACGGUCCAAAUCUGUAACACCCCACCCAUUGUUGAACUUAAUUAUUUUGAAAAACCCUACUUAUUCGGGCCUUUGGCCACAUUAAACUCACUUAAUUUACUACGCAUAUUAUUUAUCGUAAUUCCUAAAUCUAGUUGAUUUUUAAUUAUUUUAUUUUUAUUUUAUUUUAUUUUAUUUUAAUUAUUAUUAUUUAAUUUUAUUUAAAAAAUUUGGAAAAAUUUAGAAAAACGGCGAAAUAGAAGAAAUCUUGUGGGGAAGCAGAAUUGCCUGCUCGGGAUACUGCAGAUUGUGCGGGCACGCACGGGUGGAUAGCAGGCAUGGGACAUGCACAGGGCAUGGGGCAUGGGGCCAGGUCCUGCGCGUGUCUUGUCAUGCGCAAGCGGGCCAUCCAUACAUCAUCUCAUGUGCGGACAGGCACCACACACAAUGCGCGCGCCGUCCACACAGCAGGCUUGCGCAGAUUGGCCUUGUGUGCCUGGGGCCUACGCGCGCAGCACCUAGUGCGCUUAGGCCCUGCGUACGCAGCAGGAGUCCUGUGCGACAGCAGGCUAGCUUGCAGUGCACCGGCCGGGCCACUGCUGCCUUGGGCAGUGCGCCACCACCACCGGCAGAGGAAGCCCUCCUCCCUCGUUUUUGUGCCAAGCUUCUUUUUUUCUUCUCUUCAUCAGAUUUUUAUCACUUGGUGCGAAUCCGGUGGUUCUAAAUUUCUAUAAAUAGGUCCUCCCACCCCAUUCUUCCCCACACUUCCAUUCUUUUAUUUUUCAAGACUUAGAGAGAGAGAAAGAGAGAGAAAGUGAUCUAGUGGGAGAAGGAGCGAAAGAAAAGAGGAACAGUGAAUGAAAAACAUCAAGGUUUUGUAAGGAAUUUAGUAUUUCUUUUGACAUCUUAAGGGAUAUUUUAAAAUAAACUAAAAUUAUUAAACAUGAUGAUUGUGAAUUUGUCUAUUUUGUGUGCUUUUGUGUUAUAGUUCAGUUAAGUCGAAUUGUUCUUGUUUUUAAGCAUACUAUGUGAUUUAUAGACACUUGAUGAUUUGUAUGUACUAAAAAAUAAUAUGAAGUUGGUAUUGUUACCUUGAAAAAUAAAAGAAACAAAAAAAAAAGAAAGUGGAAUAAAGCAUGAAUGGUCUGAAGUAUAUAUAUGUAAUGACAUGCAUAAUGCUUCAAGUGUCUCAUUAAAAUUUUUAUCUCUGAGAGGUAUCUGUUCCCCUAACCCCUUUCGAGGUAUCUGUUUCUCCCUCCCCCAUCUAGUCUGGAGAGACAUAAGAGGGUCGCUCCCAGUGGAUGACGACGUACCCUCUGACAAGAGUGGUAAUGCGAAUAUCUGUUAGGGGUCACCCUUGACUAAGUACUGUCGUGACUGUAGAUAUCUUAUAGGACCACUAUGGUUGGUAUGGCCAUGGUCGUAGAUUGUACCAUGAUUUGGUCAACCAAAAAUGUGCCUGAGCAAAUUACCGUAUCUGUAUCUGAUUUGGUCAUUCUACUUGAGUAGUUAGAAAUCUGUAUCUACCUUCAGAGAUGAAAGUUGUAACUAAUUCGCGAAGUAUGACAUGAAAAUCUAAGCAUUUCAUGAUUUAUUUGAUUUUCUCUAUAUCUGGCAUGAUGUAUGUUUGAUUGUUUAUAUUAACGUACUAUUUUCUUUAUAAACAAACUAUUUUCAUAAUUUAAGAUAGGUCUAUGAGAUGACCAAUCGGUAUGCUUUUAAAUUAGAAUAAUUCAUCUUUAAAACCUUACUAUAUUAAUUUAAUAAUGUUUUCUUUACUGAGCAUAUGGAACUCACUCAUUCCAUGCCCCUCCCCUCCCAGAUGAGGAAGAAAAUGAGGAACCGCAGGCUGACCUACCAUUGGAAGUCUAUGAGGAUGCCGUGGAUCCACAAAAUUUAAAUGCAUGCUUAUUUCCGUACUAUGAUGAGUCCAAUAACAUAGUGAAAUAAGUGGCAUUCCUUUGUGUUUUAUUUUUUUUUGUAUUUUAUGCCACUUCAGGCCUUAGUUAUAUGUAUGUAAUUGGAACUCAUAUAUAUAUUUGUAAGAGAUUUGUAUUAAUUUGUUCCGCUGCAUACAAUUUUA